AUCAGUGCUUUCACGCAAUAACAAGACAUAGCUUAUCAGCAGUUAGUACCCUGUUGUAGUAGAAUCUGAAUGACUUUGGUGCGGUCAAUGAGGUUUACAAGAAAGUCUUCUCCAAAGAUUUCCCCGCACGCGUCUGUAUUCAAGCGGCCCGCUUGCCCCUGGAUGCUUUGGUGGAAAUUGAGAGCAUCGCUUUGACCGGUGAUGUGGAGACUAUA